GUCAGCGGGUAGGAAGCAGGACUGUGCGAAACAGUGGGCAGAGUGGUCGUCGGGAGUGGGACAGUGGCGAUGUGACAGAACUGACCACUCUAUUUUGAUCUGCUGAAGAGAUUACUACUUAUCAGGAAAAUGCAACAAGUGCCAGUGUUACAAUCGACAGUGGCUCCAGUUGAAGGGAGGCUACGUCGUAAUGUGCCAAGCCUUCCAGCGAUCAAGCCUGACAGGCUGAAAACAGCCAAAACACUGGUAGAGAAGGCAGUGAAGCUGAGGAAGGUGUUUUCAGUGCAGGGGCCCUACCCAGUGAUCCGUGCUGCCCUAUGGGCCAGAGGGUGGGUUGAACGCCAUUUUCCUAAUCCUACCCAGAGAGCACCUCAUUGCCGUGGCAAUGAAGAGGAAGAUGGCGGCGAUGGUGAUGUCAGUGUUCAUGUUACUGGUAAGACAAU